GUGCCAGCAGCCGCGGUAAUACGUAGGGGGCAAGCGUUGUCCGGAAUCAUUGGGCGUAAAGCGCACGUAGGCGGCCCGGUAAGUCCGUUGUGAAAGUCAGAGGCUCAACCUCUGGAGGCCAAUGGAUACUGCCGGGCUAGAGUCCGGAAGAGGCGAGUGGAAUUCCUGGUGUAGCGGUGGAAUGCGCAGAUAUCAGGAGGAACACCAAUGGCGAAGGCAGCUCGCUGGGACGGUACUGACGCUGAGGUGCGAAAGCGUGGGGAGCGAACAGGAUUAGAUACCCUGGUAGUCC
rnacentral:rRNA from 1 species